AAGUCGUAACAAGGUUUCCGUAGGUGAACCUGCGGAAGGAUCAUUAACACGUUAAACCCCCCUGUGAAUUAUCGCAGCUCUUGCAGACGUCGGUAAGUUUGCAAUCCCUGGUAAAUCAUUGAACAGAUUUUGAUUCAGGGACCUCUAACACCGACAGCUGCAAUUCGAGCGCUUGUGCAAUUUCCCCAAGCUGCCAGUGUCUGAAAGUGUCGCUGGUUGUGUAAGGAAAACGCUUUACGAUCGCUGGAGGCCGACACGGGGUGACCGGGCUGCUGUGGCUAUAUGCCCCCUAUAUUUACCCCACUACCUGAACUUGGGUCGCAGGAAACUGCUUCCCCUUAAAUCCGAACAACUGUUAACAAUGGAUAUCUUCUC
rnacentral:misc_RNA from 1 species